AAUGAUAUGCCUGAAAAAGGGUUAUUUUGAUAGAAUAAAUUAUACAUUUCCUUUAAAAAUGUUUUCAUUA
rnacentral:tRNA from 1 species